GGUAUGUAAAGCUCUAUCAGCAGGGAAGAAAAUGACGGUACCUGACUAAGAAGCCCCGGCUAACUACGUGCCAGCAGCCGCGGUAAUACGUAGGGGGCAAGCGUUAUCCGGAUUUACUGGGUGUAAAGGGAGCGUAGACGGCAGCGCAAGUCUGAAGUGAAAGCCCGGGGCUCAACCCCGGAAUGGCUUUGGAAACUGUGCAGCUAGAGUACCGGAGGGGUAAGCGGAAUUCCUAGUGUAGCGGUGAAAUGCGUAGAUAUUAGGAGGAACACCAGUGGCGAAGGCGGCUUACUGGACGGUAACUGACGUUGAGGCUCGAAAGCGUGGGGAGCAAACAGGAUUAGAUACCCUGGUAGUCCACGCGGUAAA
rnacentral:rRNA from 1 species